rnacentral:piRNA from 1 species
UGCUCACCAGGCCAAAUCUCACAAUACUC